UAUUAAAAAUUUUAUCCAUUUGUACUGUUAAAAGUUGGUGUGACUGACGAAAUAAUCAAACAGUGACAUGUGACUUGCCACGUGUACAUUAUGCUGAUAUAUAAGGGUCAAUUUUGAAUAAUAGAAAUGGAUGAAAUUUUUAAUA
rfam:Gossypium arboreum cultivar AKA8401 contig_4197_5, whole genome shotgun sequence.